AUUCAGAGUCAGAGUCUGUCCCCCACCCUUCAACAAACACCAGGCAAAGCAGUGGGUUAAGCUGCAGUGAAAAUAAUAGCAGUUUAAUACGAUGAUCAAACACUGGGAAUCCUUUCAAAUCCAUGAAGUCAUUAGCAGGACUACUUUGCGCAACAACUUCUCCCCUCCUGCUGUCACUUGAAUCAAAUAAGUGGCUUCACUGACCUGACCAGCUGUGUCGCAGAGCUGAAGUCUCACCGGCUUGCCAUCGACAGACACAACAGCUUUGGAGAGAAAGGAGGAGGGAGCGGGGAAAAGUGUGAAACUUGAAAAGCCUGACACGGGGAGAGGCAAGGGAGUGAGGCAACGCGCUCUGAGCAUGACGUGAUGCACUGCUGCUUGUUCAAGGGAAGAGUACAGCCUGCUCUGCAGGGCUGUCACCAAGACCCUGUUCUUUGUUGAGAAGAGCAAUCCCAAGGUCUGGAAAAAAACCAUCUGUGAUGCACCCCUUCAUUUUCCAAAGAGCACGAUCAUAGUGACACAGCUAAGCUGGCUGGUGGCAGGGGAGGUGGGAAGAAAGGGGAAAUAUGAGGGAACAAAGAAAGGGCAACAACCCGGGAAAGAAAAGGCAGCCUGUAUGAACGAUGGCUCCGACGCCAGAGGAGUGCUUUUGAAGCUGUGCUUUGAGAACUAGAAGGGAAAAGGGCUAUAGAAAUACCAGAUAUUCCUGCUUUUAUUAGAUAUUUGAUUUGUAAUUUAAAAUAUUUAUUUAUUUAUUUAUUUAUUUCCAGGUAUUUUUAAAGAACAUUUUCAUCACACAA